rnacentral:lncRNA from 1 species
UCGGAUUUUUAAUUUAUGAUUAAUGUAUAUUGAUGAACUGUGUUUGCCCAUUUGGCUAUGUUCUGUCAUAAAAAAGAGAGUUGCUCAUUAUAUUCAUUGUGUUGGAUGGUAAUUAGAUUUUGAAUUCAUGACUAAUGUGUAUUGAUGAACUUAUUUUAGCCCAUUUGUUAAAUGAUUGACCAUUUAAGUCUUAUUGACUGAUUGCCCACUAUAAACAUUGUGUAUGCUGGUGACAUGAUUUCGAAUUGAUGUGCUGCCAAAUUGCAAAUUUGACAUAUUCUCCUUUCUAUUUCAAAGUUUAUUCCGGGCUAGCGACAAAUUUACAUAUAUUAAUAUACUUUAUGCCAAAUUGUCAAGUAUGCAAUUAAAUAUCUCUUGACAAUGUCACGGUCAACACGUCAAAAACCCAAGGAGUUCCGCAACACAGUCCAGAUGGUACAGCCACACCGCAACGCCACCCAGCCGUUUCAGCCCCGGAACCGGUGAAUCUGAACCCGCAACAACUUGUGGUUGUGGUGAGCCUUGUUGCAGAACACCAUUGAUCCGUGUUUGCGCAGCGGAGGAGCAUUUUGGCUGAUGAUUCGCUGCACUGUCAGACAGUGUUGAACAAAAUGAAUCACGUAGCUACCAAUCAAUAUCGUUCUAUGUACUCGUUACUUGGACCUCGUGGAAUCUUCAGAUAGCCAAAACCGGCAUCUCAAAGAGGGUCACUUAAACCUCCAUUCCCUCACCAAAACCUUUAUUGACUUAGCAGUAUUAAGUCUAUCUUUCUUUAUAUCCAAAUAAAUAAGUGGCAGCUGAAUUUUUAGAGGGUUCUAACAAAGGGUUUCGUUUACAAAACCAGCGCCUUAGAGUCCAAACUUCAUGUCAAACUUUAAUUUCCGUUAGGCAAAACUCUGCUGAGGCUAAUGAGAAAGUUAUAUAGGCAGAGCAGUUAAGCAGAACUGCGGUUCAUUUUAAAGAAAUGCCUGUUCCAAAUUUCAGGCAAUCCGCGAUCAUUCUUGUGGCCAAAAAGAUGGUAGCUCGAGGAUUAUACACCAUCUUUCCUUUUUGCAGGGUUCAAGUUUGAAUUAUUUUAUUGAUACGUCUACUUCCUCAGUUCAGUACACUUCUUUAGACAGAGUGACGGAGCUAUUGUUUCAUUAGUGCAAUAUUGCGAAAUGGCAAAAGUUGGCGUCAAAUCUGCCUUUCGCCUUUGAGGUUCAUAAUUAUGAUUUUGAAAUUAUUAGCCUUCAAAUUAGGAUGGGGUUAUUUUACGGACAAGACGUUACCUAUGAGUGUGCAAUCUCUUGCUGCUAUUAGGAAAAGUUUGCUAAUUUAUUACCAUAGCUGGUCCGGUACAAGAGGAAAUCCGAAAGGCUGUUUUAUUACUUGGAUAAUUAUGUUUGUUUGGCUCGCUCUAAUUCAGGGAAUGUAUGGCCAGUUUGUUCUGUUUUAUAGAUAUAUGCAAAUGCCUUAACAUACCCGUAGCAAAAAGAAAUGCAAGCCUAAAUUGAUCUUUUAAUUUCUGUAGCAGAGCCAUUUCCUUUCUAGACUAUUUAGUAGUAGUUUCUAUGCUAUUAUGUGCAAUUUGGUAAAAAGUUCACAUCAUUUAAGAGUGACCAGUUCAAUAACAGAUGAUUCGGUUAUCAUUUUGUUUGACAGUUACUGCAGCUUCCACGACUUACACUGAUUGGAUAUUUCUGUCAUAAACUUCUUUACUAAUAGCGCUGGCGUACAUGGAGUAGGACGCGCAGCUUUUUCGAAGUAGUUUGAUUUUCUACAUUUGACCUUCUAGGGGGCAGACGUUCGUAUAUGCAAUAACGUAUUUUUUAUAUUUUAAUAUUAUAAUAUUUAUUAUUUUAGUGUCGAUCGUGUCAGCUUUACUUGCAUGCACAGACGACUUGCACCUUACUCCAUUUUUAGCCCAUUUUUUAAUCAAGAAUGUAGCUCGUCAUACAACAUGUUUUUAUAUCCCGGACAUUUCUUCUAUUGUAAAAUUAAUAGUCUUGAACAUCUUACUUAAAGAUUUAUGUUACGUUGAAUGCUUAUCAGUUUUGAUAGGUUGCAUCGGACAAUUGACAUCAGGCAACCUAUAACGCUUGAUUUACUUCGUAAACUCAUACAGGUGACAAAUACUGUUUGUUCUUCUAUAUUUGAGGCAUUACAAUUUUUCAGCAGUAUUUUUCCUGACCAUUUUUGAUUUUUAAAGAUACUUGAGCUUGUACACACGAACUCAAACUCAUCGAAUGUAAGUGCUAAAGGUCACGCAUUAUAUGAGGGAGACGUUAGUAUUGUAAGUAUUGGUGUACUUCGCAAAAUUCUUCCUUCAUCAGUAAACGAUCAGAAAAAGGCGAAGGAGUAGCUAUUCAUUUACAACCUUGCACAUUGUUCUACUUGACGCCUGGAUUUAAUAGAGAGAUAUAUGAUUGUUCGACCAUCUAGUGCUUCAAACUAGUGCCAUUCCAUAUAAACCACAUUCAUUCAGAGUAGGUGCUGCAACGGCAGCAUGACUGCUUACGAUAUUACAAGAAUGGGGCGUUGCGCCCAGGAUUCAAGUGCAUUUAAAUCUUACAUUAGAAUCCUCUCACGUCAGCUGUUGUCACUCAGAUCUUAAGCCUAUAAGCAGUUUCAUUGUACCUGCCAUCUGUUUGCCCUUUUUUGUUGACAAUUGUUUUCAGCUUUUCAGUGCGUCCUACCCAUAUUUGGAUAGUUGGAUGUUCAAUUAUAAAGUUGGUAUUUCGUUACGACAAGGAAUCAGCUGAGGGUUUUCAACUUGUAAUGCAGCGUCAUAAUGCGACCAUACUGUGUCAGAGUCAGGGUGGUAUGAAAUGGCGGCAAGUUAAACCAUUAAUCUUACACUUGUUUCCUUUUGAAGACUAUCAAGGUACAUCUUAUGUGUUCAAGUUCAGCCUACACCUUCCUUGCCUUCAGUCGUUACAGCUUCACAUGGAAUAUUGGCAGUUUUCACAUGUUUAUGUAUGGACAUGACAGUGUUUGUUUUCCAGAACUGUGAAAUGUGUAUGUGUCAUAUAUAGACGUUUAACGUAGACACUAAUUCUGUAUGUCUGUUUUUGUAUACCUGAUCUCCGUUGAAUUCUGAUCCCAGGUUCGGCGUUUAGGUCAGCCUCCACCAGUAUAUCUUAAACCCCAACCUUUGCUAUAAAAAGAAGUGGGAGGAGCCAAAUUUCAAAUGGUGGCUGUUUUUUGCAACAAUUUUCAUCAGAUUUUUCAGGAAUUUACCAGAAAUAAAUUGUAUUUAUUUUUUUUAAAAAAUAUGCAGUUGUGGGGACAUGUUUUCUGUUCACAAAAAUGCAUUCCUUCUACAAAUAACCCAUUGAAUAAAUUAGAUACAGCAGUUACAAAAUUGAAAUAUCAAGGUAUUU